rnacentral:rRNA from 1 species
AUGAACGCUGGCGGCGUGCCUAAUACAUGCAAGUCGAGCGAACGGACGAGAAGCUUGCUUCUCUGAUGUUAGCGGCGGACGGGUGAGUAACACGUGGAUAACCUACCUAUAAGACUGGGAUAACUUCGGGAAACCGGAGCUAAUACCGGACAAUAUUUUGAACCGCAUGGUUCAAAAGUGAAAGACGGUCUUGCUGUCACUUAUAGAUGGAUCCGCGCUGCAUUAGCUAGUUGGUAAGGUAACGGCUUACCAAGGCAACGAUGCAUAGCCGACCUGAGAGGGGGAUCGGCCACACUGGAACUGAGACACGGUACAGACUCCUACGGGAGGCAGCAGUAGGGAAUCUUCCGAAAUGGGCGAAAGCCUGACGGAGCAACGCCGCGUGAGUGAUGAAGGUCUUCGGAUCGUAAAACUCUGUUAUUAGGGAAGAACAUAUGUGUAAGUAACUGUGCACAUCUUGACGGUACCUAAUCAGAAAGCCACGGCUAACUACGUG